UGGCGGGGUAACGGCCCACCAAACCGACGAUGGAUAGGGGUUCUGAGAGGAAGGUCCCCCACAUUGGUACUGAGACACGGACCAGACUCUUACGGGAGGCAGCAGUGAGGAAUAUUGGUCAAUGUCCGAGAGGCUGAACCAGCCAAGUCGCCUGAGGGAUGAAGGUUCUAUGGAUCGUAAACCUCUUUUAUAAGGGAAUAAAGUGCGGGACGUGUCCCGUUUUGUAUGUACCUUAUGAAUAAGGAUCGGCUAACUCCGUGCCAGCAGCCGCGGUAAUACGGAGGAUCCGAGCGUUAUCCGGAUUUAUUGGGUUUAAAGGGUGCGUAGGCGGCCUUUUAAGUCAGCGGUGAAAGUCUGUGGCUCAACCAUAGUAUUGCCGUUGAAACUGGGAGGCUUGAGUAUGUUUGAGGCAGGCGGAAUGCGUGGUGUAGCGGUGAAAUGCAUAGAUAUC
rnacentral:rRNA from 1 species